rnacentral:rRNA from 1 species
UAAUACGUAGGGGGCAAGCGUUAUCCGGAAUUACUGGGCGUAAAGGGUGCGUAGGUGGCCUGACAAGUCAGGGGUCAAAGGCAACGGCUCAACCGUUGUAAGCCCUUGAAACUGUCGGGCUUGAGUUCAGGAGAGGAAAGCGGAAUUCCAAGUGUAGCGGUGAAAUGCGUAGAUAUUUGGAGGAACACCAGUGGCGAAGGCGGCUUUCUGGACUGAUACUGACACUGAGGCACGAAAGCGUGGGGAGCAAACAGG